AGCAAAUUCUGGAAUAGCAGCUGAAGUUGAAUGUUUUUAAGCUUGUAAACGUUGUCUAAAAACCAAGAGAAAGACAGCAAACAGGUCUGUUUCAUUUUUUUAAUUGCAUUGUUUCUCCUGUUUCAAUGAAUAGGCCUUUGCAUACAUUUCAGCCUGAGGCUGAACCUUUGAAUAGAUCUGUAGCCGACAAUAGUAAGUCAAAAACUUCAAACUUAUAAAGUAUUUACAGUCUACUUAAAGGUUUCUGCUUGUUGUUACCAUAGACUGUAUAUAAGAUAUAUAUAUAUAAGAUUGUAUAUAUAUCUUAUAUACAGUCUAUGGUUGUUACUGAUACCAUGUGUGCAAUAUAUGUACCAAGCUGUUGUUUCCCACUUGAGGGGGCCAAAAACUCAAGAUUUCCCAGUCGCUGCCCAAUUUUUCAAUUAUUCACGUUUACUGUGCAUGACAUGCUGUGCAGGUAUUCUUAAAAUCAGCAAAGAUGGAAAUAGAUUAAAUUCUAAUUUUGCUCUCAUGAAGUUACAAAGCAACAAAAUAUAUCGCAUCACACUAUUUUAAAACAUGUAACGUACUUAGAAUUAUUUACCACAAUGAUGGUACCUGCCAUCAGAAACACUAAAUCCAUUUGACUGGUGUAGAUUUCCAGAUAUUAGAGUAAAAACAAAUACACAAAACUUUUUUUUCAAAUGACCCAUUUGACCAAGCACAAAAUAAUGUAAAUGAAACAAGAUGUAACCCAACAAUACACCCAGUAAUGCCAUCUUUGACCAGUAGAGACUGCACAGGAGCAGCAGAAAAGAGGACAGUCACUGCAGAAGCAGCAGGCAGUUAAAAACGCCUUUUAAGGGCAUGAGAGUCUCUUUGUGAGUGCACUGAGCUGGGUGUGUUGCAUUGUAAUGAAGUAGUGUUGUGGUAUAGUGGAUGCACCCACAUCAGCACAGCUGAAUGUGUAGGUGACGUGCAGCCAUCUGUCCACAUCAAAUAAACAGACUGGUGAGAACCGGAUGCCAGUGAUGAAUCAGAGUCUACAGUAGAAGAUGUAAAAUGAAGAUUUUAAAAAAGUCAUUUCAGAAGCCAUGUCUUCAGCGGUUCAUUUACCGGAAUAUGCCGACUCCAAAAGUUUAUUACUGGAACAAAAUAAGUGAGUGCUCCUCUUGGCAGCUUGACUGCCACAGUGGUUCUAAUGGUGAGCUCAAUACAGAACCAAAUCACAUGUCAUCGAUUAACCAUGCUGAAAAUAAACCCUGUUGUUACUCAAACAUACUGUGGCUGCUCACUCUCCAACUCAUGAGCACUCCAAACUGAAACACCUGAGAAGUGUGGAGUCAGGUACUGCAGUCAGGUCAGAAUGUUAACAUGGGAAAGACUAAAAAAAUUACUUUCGUAACGUUGCUCAGUUUAGACAUGAUGAAAGAUGAGGCUUUUGGUGAACUCUCACAGAGGUUUGUUAUGUAAAAAGUACAGGAAACAAAUAAAACACACAAUACACUGAUCUUCACUCCAACACUAUCUGUCUGUCCGUUCAUUUAACCUCCACAGCCCCUUAAACAGAGUGUGUUUUGCUGGAAAAAAGACAUGAUAUUGGUUAUUACCUAAAGAUCACACUCUCAAACAUGUGCUUGGAUAUAAAGCAGGAGAAAAUUGCAACAUAAAUCAGAGCUGAUGUAAGCUAAACAGAAAAUCCCCCCACCUCCAGUGUACAGCUGCAAAUCUUGUAUAAGUGGUAGUACCGAACAAAGCAACCAUCACAACAACAGUUAAACCAAAACGUAAUCUGCGUUUCUGUACACGGCAACUGUGCUGCUUACUUUAAGCCACUUUGUUUCUGGGCUUUGUUUAAACAGGAGAUUUUCCUACUGUAAGGUGCACUCAGAGAAAACAGCCAGACUGGGGGGUGAUUUGAUAACCCUGAAGUGAACUAGAUCAUCACGCACUUGUUCGUGUGUGUUAUGUGAAGUUUAAAGCCUGGUGACCGUCGGUGUCGUCUUCUUUUCACCCAGGUGCUUUUAUAAACUGCAAAGAGAAACAGUAGUAUGAAAAGACAGGGGAGGGUGCUUGCUGCUGGUAAGUCUCCUGAGUAGUACGGGUGCACUAAGGGGUUAAACUUAGAAGUGGUGAACUGCAUACUAGACUAUACCAGCCUACUUAUAUCACUGUAAACACCCCAUCUUAAUUUAGAGCCUCGAUUAUACCAGUCUGACAGUUUGUUAGAUGUGCAGACAUUUGUUGUGAUUAUUAUGAGAGGACUCUUCAACUCAGAUCUGUUAGCAGGUUAGCAAAAAAUGAAAUCAUUGAAAGUUGUAUGAAGAAAUACUAACAGCAUCAGGGGUAACAAGAUCCAGGAGGCACUAACAUUAUCAAAGGUAACAAACUGUAGCUAGCUGUUGCUGCAGGCAUGUCUUAUGUAGUACAUUUCAUACCAUAGGUGUAUCUUACAGGCAAAUUAUCAGGCAGAGCUCAUUGGCUUAGAGGUUAAAUUGUGGGUCACAUGCUAGAAGCACAUCCACAAACCAGGCUGCCUGGGUUCGUUUUCCAAUACUCAGCCCUUUGCACUUCCCUCUUUAACCUCUCUCCCCUGUUUCCUUCUCCGACCACUUCUGUCCUCUCAGUGAAAGCAUAAGAGCUCAUUGUAAACAGAACAAAAGACAAUAAGCUAGUGAUAGAGCCUGGGAUGUACAAAUAGGUGUCAAAUUAUCAUAGAGGCUAUAUCAGACUGUGUCAGAAUCAGAAAUGCACAGGAUGAGUAUCACACAAUCAACAUGAAUACAUUUAACACAAGACUUUAACAGCUAACAGACACACAGGGGGCUCAAAAUGUCUUUUAUCCAACUCACAACAUUUACUCAUUUUGUUUUGUCACCGGUUUUACAGCUUUGAAAUGAGGAAGCACUGAGAUUGUGACAGUCUUUCUUGACUUUGGCAGGUUUUAGCCAAAAUAAACCUUCAUAAAGUGGGGAAGUGAGACAUUAAGCUCUAUGUAUGUUUGAUGUCACCAUAUGCAGUCAAAAUCUGGUAUAGCCUACAUUUCAGACCUGGCUCUUUUCUCCCCUGUGCUGCUUCUCAUUCCCCAUAGCCUCAUCUGUGUUUCAUGCAGGUACAGACAGAGCCAUGUGAGACACAUGUUUCACAAUCACUUGAGCGUAUACAUACACAGGGAAACUUGACUUUGUUACCCUGAACCGUGUUCGCUGCUUUAUACUGAUUCAGCUGUCAGCAAGUUGAGACUUGACAGCAUCUCAGUUCCUCUUUCCUCUUCUCUGUGCCCACUAACCCUCCUCUCAGCUACAUCCCUAUAAGGUAAAAGCUUCAUGCUGACUGACUGCACAGGAAAUCCACCUUCUGAUAACUGAACAAAAAAGCCACAAAAAAAAAAAGCCACAAGUACCCUUUGAUGGACUGAAAUUGUCACCAAACUUCAAAGUGUUCUUCAUUUAAAGAAGAGCUACCCCGUGUUUGUUAGCUGAGUGUUAUCUUAGUCACCAUGAGACUUUCUCUUUUUAUUCUUAGAUAAGAAGAGAAGUAAUGAACAUUGUCCCAUGAGAUUGGAGAUGAGAUUUACAUUUGUCCUUUCAUUGUUCAGAAUACUUUAUGUAAAUAAAGUCUCAGACUCCCAUUAAACAAAACAUUUCUUUUCUCUGGUUUAUACUCAAAUAGAUGAUGAAGUCUGUCAGCAGUCUAUGAGGUGUGUCAGUUUAGCUCAGUGGUUAAAGACCUCAUUAAAAGAGCUGGUUCUUCUUUCAGUUCUCAGUUUGGCCCAUCACUGCAUUUCACCCCUGACUCUCUGCUCUACAUGAUUCCUGCCUGUACAAAUAAAGGCAAAUACGCCCCCCAAAAAAUACUGAGAAACAAAGAAAAUGACUGUGUGUCAAAAAGAUCUUGCAGUAAACCAACAAACACAUGAAUUUCCGUCCACAUUCAGCUCAGGUGCCCUGGUGAUUUGCAUGUUUGUAUCAAAGGAUUUCCACAAUGCAGACACUUUGGAGUCAGAGACACUUGUGGUGAACCUGACUAUCUCUCUGCUGUAGCACUGCAGGCUUCAGCUGUGCCCAGUCUUUAAAAUGUUGCUCUAACAUUUGAGCUGAUAUCCAUGUAAGCGAUCAUGUAUAGUGAGCAGGUGAUAAUGCAAAAUAGAACUUCUUAGGAUGAGGCAGGACCCCAAAGUGAAGCUGUGUCUUGGAGUUAUCAUUAUCCUACUUAAUACCUGACUACCAGCUAAAGAGACAUGACUUGUUAAGUUAUUUAUGCAGGUCAGAGUCGAUUGAUAGUUGAUAGUGUUUCCAGGGCAUCAGCCUCCCUCCAGAUUGCCUUAUUAUCAAACUAAUCAUUUUCACUCAAAGAAAAUAACAGCAGUACUUGUAUUGUUUCCUGUUUAUUUUUACUUUACUACAGUGCUAAAAUUCAAACUGUAUUGCGAUUUUUGGUUGCUUUGUGUCUGUCUUUUUUCUAGUUCAGCUGAUCUCUCAUUAGUCUCUUUUCAGGCUUCCUCCUCUUGACUACUUAUCUUAGCUGAUUCAAACAUGAACCACCAGUGUAAAGUUUUGUGCUCCCCAAAUACACUGAGAGCAGUAUCAGUGUUAUCCUCUAUGUUACUUACCAAUGUUCCAACAGUAAUUGUCCCAUUAGUCAGCAGAAAGAGGUGAAACCAUGAAGUAUUUGUCAUAGUUUUCAUAAUGAAUAUGCCAGUCUCUUUUCCACAGGCUAAUUUCACAUGGUUAAUGUGAUCUGGUUAGCUUUUUUAUCCAGCCAACUUUUAGUUUCUGUCAAUUUUGGCACAUCAUGAAAACAAAACAACAACUCGUCAACUACUUGCUUUGACAGUGUUGUCUGACAAAUUUCUUAUUCUGCUGAUUUUCGACAGUCAAAUGUUUCAGUAAAUGUAACUAUUAUAUGUGGCAAUAGGGCUGUCUCUUUAACUACAAGGUUGUCUCUCUCUCUCUCUCUCUCUCUCUCUCUCUCUCUCUCUCUCUCUCUCUCUCUCUCUCUCUCUCUGGUUUCAGGCAUAAAAAGUUACAGAAUAAAAAUCAUUGAUAUUCUCUUUGCUGGUCUUGUUUUCUCUUGUAGAUCAUAAAAAAAGGAAGUUUAGGUCCAUUUCAUUAAUGUUAAAUAACUCCACACAGAAGCCUCAGAUCACUUUUUGAUGAUUUUGCACAAUAUAAGAAAGAAACAGAUUGACCGAAUGAAACUGACUCUCUCUAAAGGUACACGUUUCUGCAAGUAUUCUGGUUUCUUGUCACAAAUGAUAAGGGAAAUGAUCCUGAAUUCCACACUCACCCUUUACAACUCAGCCUAGAGCAAGUAAGUAAAUAAAUACAAACACUACAUAAAUAAAGAAACCAUUUUGCAGGAAACCUAUCUCUAUAUUCAGCUGCAUUGAGGGCUGCUUUCUGUCUGUAACAGCAACUGGGUCAUCUGCUGUAAUGAACCAGGAUGUCAUUACGUCUCUCAUAAUGAGUAGGGGUUUUACCAGUUUGACUAAAAGGUGCGCCUUGUACAAACACACCUGUUACUGACGGCAAGCAAAGCAAGUUCUCUCCUCAUGAGGAAGAGCUCAUUUGUUUCAUAUUGCUCAAAAACUGGUUUGACAUUUGUUCAGCCAGUUAAAAAAUGUAAAGGUUCACGCAUGUUAUUAUUCAUACAAAUGGAUUUAGUGACUGAAAACGUUAUCAAAGUAUGACUUCCAAACAGUAAUGCUGCCAAAAGACAAUGAAGGGAGAAAUUAAUGAAUAUAAGAUAAAUGUUCAUUUCACAGGGAUGGACUCUAUGGAGAGAGAGGUGAUCAAAGUGUGUCUAUCCUAAGCAGCAGCAAAAUCCAUCCUCCAGUUGAGUCCAGACAGUAGAGAUAUGUUGGCUGAUGAUGUUGUCUGAGGCUGAUGGGAUGAUGACAUCUACUGCUGAGAAGUCUUUGAUGAGAUUAUGAGCACUUAGGUUGCAGGAAACAAAAGCAUGAACAAUCUUGUAGACAACAGCAAUAUGAAUGGCUAUGAAUGAGAGUGAAUGUAGAGCUAGUUUAACAAGUAAAACUCCUGUGAUGAAUUUUCAUCUGGUAAUGAGAUGGGCUAAAAGUUCCUCAGGAACUUUAAGAAACUAACCAAAGACAUCUUAAAGCUAUUGUUGCUUAAAUAUUUAGAAGGUCAGAGUUAAAAUUCAACCGUUUGAGUCAGAUAAGUGAUAGUCUUCAAAGAGUCUUAUUUAUUCUUUGACCUUGAAUUGUGGAGCAAAUUGAAAUGCUUCGCUGGAGGAAUCCUUAAACAGCGCCUGAGCUCAUAAACUGCAGCAAAAUCACCUGGGGAUAUAUCUUUUCAAACUUUGAAUGUUGCGAUAAAUACCGAUGUUUAGAUACUUAUCUAUCACAUUAGAAAAACAAGGGUAUGAGUCAGACUGUGCUUGUGAAUGCCUGAAUCAUUUAUGUUUGUUUUGGUCUCGGAAGUCACACGUGUCACUUGAACUGUCACUUAAUGCAAAAUUCCAAGUCAGAAACUCAGAGAAACUUUAGGUUACCUGAGUCUGAAAUCCAAGAUGAUUUUAGCCCAUCAUUAAAGAGGUGGCAUUGAGCUGUUCAUAUUUUUAAAACAAAUGUUGGUCGUCUGUAUUCGACACAAACGAAAUUCAGAUUACAAGGUUUACACUUAAUCCACAGGGAGACCAAAAAAUGAGCUGAAACUCAAAGUUCUCCACAGAAGAUUUAGAUUUCUGCUGAAAUAUGAUUUGCAAUAUGAUCUUAUCAUUAGUUGUUUUGCUCAUAGAUUUGUUUGGAAAGUUAUCCAUUAAUUACUUUGUUAUUAAACAUAAUAAUAUCAAGUCGGGUAUACUGGCGAGAGCAAUAUUAGCAUUUAACAUUAAACCGGACACUACAAAUUGAAAGCAUGUGAAUACACCGAAGCUGGAAAAACUUCUCAGCUCAGAAACAGGGAACAACUGAGGGGCAAGAGAAUAGCCAUUGUCGAGGGGUAGUGACCAAUCAGAAUCAAGUAUUUAACACAGCCGGGUGAUUAAUAAGGGAGCUGAGUAAUGGAAAUUAAAACACAUGAUUGGGUCUCAAGAGGACAGCAGAAAAUGAAGGCCUCACCAUUCAGCUGCUAAAUGUAACAGAAAUGCAGGGUACACAUUCAUGCCUUAGUUUUUCUUAAUCUAAUAUUAUGUAUAAUCAUAAAACACUUGCAUGUGCACUCUGCUGCAUGCAGUGAUCUUUAACACUGACUUUCAGUUUGUUCUUAUUAUAAAAAAGUGAAAUAAAGAAUAUAAGACUCCCUCUUGUCCUGGAACAUUGAUAGAUUUAGUUUUGCCACUUUAGCUACAAGAUGUUUAUCACUCGGCUAAGAAGUGUCACAUCAGAUCCUUCAGUGGUGCUGAAUGUGGGCCAGUUUUUGCUCAUCUAAUAAUAUCUGCUGUGGGGAGGUCUCACUGCCUGUCUGCUCUGAUACUUCUCUGCACACUCUGAGCUAUUUCUGCUUGAAGAUGAAGCUGCUUGAAGUAAGAAAUUAGCUGAAAGAAAUAAAAUCCAAGAUUUGGAGAAUGACUAUUUUGAUAACAGUAAUGGAAGAGGCCUAACACCAGGAACCAAAUAGACGAGUGGAUCACAGACAGCUCACAGAUCAGUGCUCGAUUUCUAAGACAGGCUCUCUGGUUGUUUUACAGUCAUGUUAUGCAAAACAGUCACUCAGAAGUCCAUUAAAAUUCAAAGUCAGUCUCACUUUAAUUAUACAGCUCUGCACACAGAGGUAGUUGACCUUUCACUGCGUAACCUCACAGCUUCAGAGACAGUACAGAGAGCUAACAAAGCAGGUUCAAUAACUGACUAAAUAUUUUACUGGUCACCACUGAUCCAUGCAGAACAGAGAGUUAUAGUUUCAUUAAAAACCAGAGCACCAGGAAAUAGAUUUCAGGGUUUAUUAAUAACUAGGGUAAGAGGGGGGAGGUAGAUUUGAAGAGAAAGAGAAUAAGAUAAAAAAAAAAAAAAACAAUGUUGAUUGAAGACAGGGAAAAAAGGGACGGAAAGCAGAGUUAUAUAAGACAAUUCUGAGCACUGAAAGAGACAAGGAGACAAUUGAAGAAGAGAGGAGGAAAGGAGGAGAUGUGUGAUGCCUUGAGGUGUAACUCUGAGAGGAAGGUGAAUGGAUCAGCUGAGCACGCUGAUGGUUGUAUGAUGUAAAUAUGUGACAUCCUCAAAAACACAGUUCUUCUUAAUGGGAUGGGUGGGAAAAAGGUUUGACACGUUUAAAAACUAGACACCUCAAUUGUAGAAAAAAUAUGUUUGAUUCAGUGUUACUCAAAUUUCAUGAAGCAUUAGGACUAUAGAAAUCACCUUAUUUUCCACCCCAAGGAUUGUAAUUUUCACCAAUUACAGAGAAGUAACUAUGAUUAUUUGUUGUACAUUUAGCAUCAUGAACACAGUGCAAAGCAAUACAAUGCAUGUAAUGAGAUAUAAAGCGAUACAAGGAGGUAUAAAGAAGAAAAAUAUUAUGAUUUUUACAAACAUCAAGCUGCUAAGAAAUGAAAUGCUUACCAAAAACACGUUCAACAGGGCUGUCAAUCUUAUAUGCAUUCAUCCAGAUGCAGCUAAAGCCACUGUGAGGAUAUAUUAGCUGGUUAAGAUACAUAUUUAAAGUUAUAGUAAUACUGCUUCAUGACCUUCAAAAUGGCCAGCGGUGUCUGGUGAACUGAUUAACUGCAAACUGUUUAAACAGACUUUUACUUUUGUGAAAUUUUCUCAGCAAAGACACAUUUGACUGUCAAAAUGACACAGGGGAAAUUUCUCCAGGAAAAACAAACACUCCUUUACAUUUACAUGACAAAAUCAGCAAAGAGAUGAGAGGUAGUACCUUGUACAAAAUGAGAAAACCAGAAAGUCUCUCAUAAUGGCUUUAAGCCUGAAUUGUGUGAAUUUUUUCCACUCCUGUGCAUUUCACAGUUAAGCUAUUGCAGCUUUCUUCUGCUUUUGAAUGACACAUGUCAAUUAAAAAAGUCAACAGUAAUAUGCACUUUUGUUUAAUUGAGUCAAAACAUCAACAAAGUACUUCAAGUUUGCAAUACCAUGUGAUCAUUUUACAAUAUAAGCAAUACAAGCUUACAGGUGCAGCUAACAAUGUUGAUGUCUGUCUGUCUGCUUACCCACUGUCUGUCCUGCUUCCAGUUCAAACACGCAAACAGUACAUGUACAUUAUGUACUCAUACAUCAUGCAAAUGCAAACAGCUUUGUCAACUUAGGUUAACACUCAUGACUUACAUUUCAGAAGUAGAAAAACUUAAUCCAUUCACUACUUUCAAUUCAUCAAUAGCUGGCUUCUGACCCAGGAUGCCAAACCAACCGAACAAUGACAGCAGGAAAGACAAAACUUCAUGCACAAUGAUACUCAAAAAAUAAGUUGCAUUUAAUAUGAUACAUGCAACUGUACAAGAAAAACAGAAAACCAAAUCAACAACGUUCAAAAUUAUUAAAUUCAUCCUCUACACCAGAAUUCUGGUAUAAAGUUUUCAUGUGGUACUAUUUAUGAACAUAAACCUGUUGUUCUUGUCAAAAGACGCCUUUUUUACCAUCAAGAAUGAUUAAAUGUUUUGCGAAUUGUCCUAGCUGUCCCAGUCGACUGAUGGCAACAGAACCACAUCAUCUGCAAAACAGCAAUACUGUAAUUCUGGGGACUCCAAACCCAGAUCAACCCUGACAGGGGCCAAAACCAAGCAUGUAGUCGACAUGUAUUUUACUUACUUUAAAAGACACAAAAGCUAACCACUUUGGUCAAACAUAAACCUCUUGGUUCUUAACAUCCUAAAUGUUUGAGGACGGGAUGAACAGAAUCUUGUGUAAAGAAUCUGAGGUAAAGAGUCAAAACUCUUAAGACUAUUGAUCAUAGUGCAAACUAAAAGUUCUGAGUACCUCUAAGUAUUCAUAUAGCUAAGAUAAAACUCCUAAAAUACGACUUUGAACUUGCUAAUUGGUACAUUCAUGAGAUUUGUUUAUCACACACACACACACACACACACACACACACACACACACACACACACACACACACACACACACACACACACACACUUGCACACUCGUGCAGAUUGACCGGCACUUGAAACACUGACUCCUUUUGCUGCACACAAACAAUAGUGGCUCAUGUCAUUUAAACUCACAUAAGAGUAAUUUUUCAUAUGAUCACUGUAAGACGUAGAGAGUCUGGUCAUCGGUAGUGAUAAAAACUCAACGAAAGUCUGACGUCACAGCACACAGACGGCUCUCUGUAAGCUUGCAUGGAGAGUGUAAACGCUCCCAGUAAACUCAGUAAACAGAUGCUCAUUUGGGCUGGAGAAUGAAGUGUCCCUCAGCUCGUUAGUCUCUGACAAUGGCAUCUCUGUGCCAACUCUGUGCAGCGCUGGCACACAGGAGCUCUGAGAAGCGGCCCAUUCACACUCACAUUCCCUCCCUGUCGCUCCGUCUUCUCUAUUCACAUGGCCUGGAAGAAUCUGAAUAGUGACAGACCCCACCGCCCACCCCUGUUUGCUUUGCCCUGUUGCACAAAUUUCAAGCUCCAACCCCCCUUGGCCCUCCCACCAACUAACGUCUCUCCCCCUCUCUCCCUCUUUACUCAACUGAGAUCCCCAAAAAGGUUUUUCACAAGUCCCAACACCCUCUCAAUGUAGCCUACAUUUCAUUAAGUCUACCUGCCACAGCGAAACAAGGAAGCAUUAAUAGAUACAAUCCAAGAUCCCAAAAAAUUAACUGUAUUAAAUAUUAAUAAAAUUAGAUAUUGGUGGUUUGCAAAUCAUAUAAGGCUUAUAUUUAAUUCAAAAUAGUACAAAGACAACAUAUCAAAUGGUGUAGCUGAAAAAAAGCUGCACCAGUUUCUUGGGUUGUCAGAGUGAAAAUGUUGUCCCAUUUUUCUCGGAUAUGAGUUCCAGCUGCUCAACAAAUCAGGAUCUCCUUCAUCAUAUUUCUUUGUUUCAUAUGAACCACACCUUUUCAGUCAAGCACCAAGACUCUUCUUCUACUGAGCCAUGCUGUUGCAAUACCUGCAGAACGUGGUUUGGCAUUGUCUUGUUGUAUUAUGCAAGUUUUUUUUUUUUUCUGAAAAAGAUCUUGUCUUGUUGGCAGCACAUGUUUCUUUUAAACCUGUUUAUAUUGUUCAGCAUUUAUGGAGCACUUUGGGCACUCGUACCAUCAUAGAUACUGGCUGUUGAACUAUACGCUGAUUACAAGCUGGGCGGUCCCUCUCCUCUUUGCAGCAGGAUGUGGCGUCCGUGAUUCCCAAAAUGGAUGUUGUGCUUUGAUUUGUCAGACCACAGGACAGUUUUCCACUUUGCCUCAGUCCAUCUUGAGUGGACUUGUGGCUCAGAGGAGUCACCUGAGCUUUUAAAUCGGGAUUAUAUAUAUUUGCAAGUACAGUUUACCUGUAUUUGUGGAUGUAAUGGUAAGAUGUGUCCACAAACAGUGUGUUUUGGAAGUGAUUUUGAAGCCAUGCAAUGAUUUCCAAUAGAGAUUCAAGUUAAUUUUUACCACCUCAGAGCCUAAGGCUAUCCGGGGUUAGUUUUGAGCCUUUUGUACAGAGAUUACUUUGAAUCCUCUGAAUCUUUUAAGCAGUAGAUGGUAAAAUCUUCAUAUUUCAUGCAAAUUUGAUUGGAAGAUUCAAAGCUUCAUCAGAGAUUGGUGAAACUCUUUUCAUCUUUACUUCUGAGUGACUCAGCCCCUCUGAAAUGCCCUUUUUAGACCCAGACAUAUGACUAAGCUGUUGCAAAGUGAUUUAGUAAGUCAAAAGACAUUGUUAUGCUUUUUUUUUUCUUUUUACAUUACACAGCUAGCUUUUCAGUCUUCUGUUGGGCCUCUGACUGUCUCUAGAAGUCCUUAUGAACUCAUUCAGAAAAUAAGAAGCUGGUUCAACAUCAAUCCCCCACACACACAGAUGACUCAGAGCUCUGGUCCGUUAGGAUUUUGGACCCCACUGAGCUGUGACUAACCAAAUGUUAAAUCAGUCAAAGUGCAGUGUUAGGAGAGCGGGCUGAGAAUAAAAGAGGACCAAAUGAGCAACCCUGAAAGGUCUUUAUUUCAAACCUGACGCUAACUGACUCCCAUUGUAAUCUAAAAGGCUGAAAUACAGAUGUCAUAUGUUUCCGCCUUUCAGAGGGAAAUAGCAAGUGUCUAAAACUGAGUGGACACGGAUGCAUGCACAAUUAGAGCAGCAUUGUGUUUGCAGACCCUGAUUCACAAACUCACCCACAGUAAAUCCCCAUCCACAAAAUCAAGUCCAGAGUAUAUUAUCAGCAGCCCUUUUGUAAAAAUGAAACUAAGUUAUCAUCACCUGUGGGAGAGACAUUAUACGGUGCAAAAACAAUUCUCUCGUGUUCUGUCUCUUGUUUCCUCUCGCUGUCCUUCUCUCUUUUCCUCUCUUUCACACAAACACACACACACACACACACACACACACACACACACACACACACACACACACACACACACACACACACACACACACACACACACACACACACACACACACACACUUAUGCAUGCUAGAACAAAGCACAUGACUUGCUGUGGGCUGUAAAAAAUGCUGCUGAGUUGAGGAGGUCUGAGGAAUGCAGGAAGGAUCUGAGUGGUAUCGCUCUGCAGGAACUGAUCUGACAGUCCUUGUUUGGACACUCCUACAGGUCCUGUUUGCUAACAUCUGUUUGUGUGUGCCUCUCUCUCUUUUUUGCUCUCUCUACAGCCCAUCAGACAGAAACAGAUUGUGCAAAAGCAACUGUAAGACUGAUAAAACUGCUUGCCAUGGUCCUUGCUGACUGGUGCAGUCAGGACAUGCAGGACUGCAUGGGCUUAGGGCAUGCAGGGGACUAUGAGGAACAAGGGGACAGACUGGACUCCAACACUGAACACAGUGACAGUUUUUGGUGAAAAGGCGUUCAGAAUUUUCUAGACUAUGUUUGGUUGUAGCUCACACUUUGUGAAUCUGUGAAAAAAGACAGUCUAUCCACUGAGAGCACUGCGUUAGCAGAGCAGCAGCAGCAGCAUAUUUUACCACCUCUGCAUUCAUGCAAAGUUUUGAGUGUGGGUUCAUCACAUUAUGAUGUGUUCACAGCUUUAGAGACUGCAAAUGUGAAACAAAAAGUAACUGUAUUUUUGAUGGGUGCAUACAACAAGAGUUAAUCUUUCCCCAUUUUGCAGCCUGAAAAAAAAAUUAAAAAAACAGGUGUUAUCAGACAAUAGUGAGAUGGAAAGUUGUGAAAAGCCUCCUAUGUGGCCUCAGGGGUUUGCACACUAGCAGCUUUGUGAGGCCAUAAGUACACAGUGAGGUGCUUUGAGCUAAUUUUAUAGUCAGGGUAAUGUAUAACAGGUGUAAAGUUACCAUGCUUGUCAUAAAAGCUUAUCCUUUCAGCAUGCUAACAUUUGUGAACCAAGUGACACUGUGGCAGAGGAGAUUGACAUUCAUUUGUUGGUAUUUUGCCGCGAACCAAAGUGUUAAACAAAUGAAAUUUUGACUCAGUGGGUCACCCAACUUAACAAAAUGACUGUUGUCUGGGGCAAAUCUGAAUCCUUUUAGUCUUUGUUCUAUACAUGAGAGUUUUGGGCUGUAACUUAGCUUUUCCUUUAGUUAAAACACACAGAAAGGAAGGAAAUAAUUGAAUGAAUAAAUGAAUGAAUGAAUGAAUGAAAUUCCAGCUGUAGCCAGAGCCAGCCCUAAAAUCAUUAAUUCAGAGAUAAUGUGCCAGGUGAUCAAUACUUAUUGAACUGUAUGGGCACCAAGUCAUCUUGUAGUGUUAAAAAAAUGUGCAAAAAACUACAGUUUCCCAGGGCCAGCUGGUUUUUCAUAUCAAAAUGUUGCUGAUUUGACCAAAAGGUGGGCAAGGUGUAGCUGUUUGCCAGGCAUCUUGGCUUAUGGCCUCCAUUCCACCUCUUUUUUUUAGAAACUUGUGAGAGUCACAAGAACUUAUACUGUCCUUUGUCUUACACUUAUUUCUACUGUCUUCAUCACCAGGCUGUCUUAUAUACUUGAUUGUGAUUGGUCAAAACCCCACAACAAACAACUUAGUGUUAUCCAAAGCAUACCAGAGAUAACUUGAUCAAACAUGCAAUAUUUAUAAAUUUAUAUCUGCCUGUUGACACUGUGGCGAAAAUGUUUAUUUCCAUCUUUACUUGGUCUUGAGGGUCAUGAAAUAGUGAUAUUUACUCUGCACAGAUAUAAAAGCAGCCUGAAGAGCUGCUGGACCAAAACCAUCUCUGAUAAGGAAAAGUGAAGCAACAUCUUGUCCUGCAAUCCAUGCAACAGCAGCAGAGCAAGCGAGUUCAUCUCUAAGAAUAACUCAGACUAUAGACAGUAGUGAGGAUAGCAACAAAGUCAAAACAAAGUGCUUCAGCCAUGUUUAACUGUGUGUAAACUGUAAAGCUCUGGGAAGGAGAGCUGAAUGAGGACAGAGAUGUUGACACUAAUAUCCCUGCAGAGGUUCACCUUGUUGGUAUUCUCUUUUUCAUAACCACCUGUUCAAUAUGCAUUAUCUCUCACAUUACAGACACCAUCCUUAUUCUGACAGGAAUAUAACACAACUGUUGCAGGGAGGCAGAUGUUAUCUUUUGAACGUGAAAACUACGACAACAUAAAAGCACAGCACAGAAUCAAACAUGAAGUGUGCUGACUUUCAGUGAUUCCUCAAUUUAUGUUUCACAAAGAGAAAUAAAACUCUAUUGUACAUACGGCGCCAACCCCAUGAAGUUAGUGUUUUGAGACACAUAACCCCUGUUUCAACCAGCCUCAGCUCCCACAGACACACACUUAGACAGACACACUCACACUGGACUACAUCCUCAACUUGCCUCAUUUCAGCCUACGGAAAGCCACAUCAACAACACAGAAGCUCUGUCAUUAUGCAACCUGCUAUUACAGCUUAUACACCACCCAGUUAGCCUGACACACACACUCUCUAUCUGUCUCUCUCUCUCUCUCUCUCUGUCUCUCUCUCUCUGUCGAACAGACUCAGCAGAACUCAUGUUUGAUCAGUCGCUCAAACCAUUAAUCCAUUCCUGUGACAGCUGUAGCAGACUAACACACACACAUGUACCACACAUGCUGACGUGGAACAGCUGGUAGACAUUGACUGAUGAAACAGAUCAGCAGACAGUCAGUCAUAUUGGAGAUUUACCAUUCAAAGAGACAAGAGAACACGCAAGUGAGUUGUGCUUAUUGGAAAUCAAUGUCCGGCAAUCAAUUAGCAUUCCAAGCCUCUGUGAACACAUUAACCUAACACACCUCACCUGCCAUUAAAAUCAAGUGUAACAAGCUCAGUGACUGAGGACUCAAUUAUGUGGACGCACAGAGGGAAAGUAUACCCGACAGAGCACUGAGGAGUGGAAGACAACCCUGUUUGGUGUGUAAAUAAUCACAUCAUUGUCUAAAUAAUCACAUCUUUGUCUGUAAUUACAAUGAGGAGAGCGUAUGUUAGCUUAGCAGAAACCGUCACACAGCUCCUGUUUAUUAUUAGUCACUGAAUAGUACUGCUUUUUAUACAGCCAGCAUUUAAUAAGUGACAUAUUCAUUUAGUGAGGUCUAACAAUGACAGUAAAGACUUGGCAGGAUGAUCAGACACUGCGUAACUAGAGCUUUUUGAACGUCCCUUCCCUUCUUCAGGAUUGCAGACUGGCUAAAACGGGUUACAAUGGUGACCAUGGAAACCCUCAGGAGUCCCUUAAGCUCUCAGAGACAGUUGCUUUGUGAGCCCUGAAUCAACAAGUGCCAAAAUGUUCCCAUUACGUCAUCCUGAAAUGGUAAAACAGACAUAUUUUAAAAUAACACAAAAAGGGACACAGAGGGAGGAAUUAAAACAGUUAGCCUGCACAAGUUAAAUAGCAGACAUCAUCGAACUAAAAUGGUUCAUAGUGGGGUGGAAGUGGGUCUUAACACUGGUUUUCUCAUAGAAGUAGUAGCAUUAAACAAAGGCAGAGGCAAACCAGUACAGCACAUGCAGUUAUAAAUGCUAUUCAAGUUUCAGUGACAUUUGAAGAAGUGCUCUAUGAAAAAGCCAAUCUCUCAUUAUUUGUUUUCUUGUCCAUUGUUGUGUCUUAUUUAUUUUACAGACAUUACCAUGACAAAGGCAAGGAACUCGAACCACAUCCCAAAAAGGUUUUGGGGUAUUUGUAAAAAAUGCUUACAGGGCACCCCAGCGAGCAGGAAUUUCAGAACAACAGUAAUCUCAAAAGGAAGUAACAUUACCAACCCGAUCAACCACCUUUACUUCCAUCAAACUGCCAAUUUCAUCAUUAAAGAAAGAGGAAGUUGAGUUUCGAGUUAUGUGUUGUAUUAUCAAAGCCAAUUUAUCACAAUGUUGUAAUUGAAAGUAGUCUUUAUCCUGGUUGUUCAUGAAGCAAUAUAGAGCCAGUUUACUUUCUUUAUCAUUAUAACAUUGUAAGAUUUCUUUUAGGCUGAGGUUGUUAUAAAAUGUAAAUCUGAUAGCCUGUCAAAAAUCGUGCUUUACUGAGUUUUAAUGCACUAUAAUCUCACUAUCCAAUGGCAGAAAAGGGCCUUUGGUUUAGAAUCAUUUGUAUAUUAACCAGUUUCACUUGGGUUUACAUUAAUCCAGUGUGGACCUUGUGCUGUGUUUCAUGUUUAAUCCAGGAAGUUAAAAACAUUUCACAGCAGGGACAGUUGAAAUGAAGUACGAGGACAUUGUUUACUGCGUUUUGAAAGUCUGGAUGCAAUGCAGGGGUGCACAUGUCUCUUUGAAGGGUGCACCCCUGUAAUUUUCAGGAGCUCUGCCCACAAACUUUUCUGGAGUUUCUUGUUCACAAAUCUUUUCCCUGCAAGACAAGGGAUAGUGAUGGGUACAGGGAGGGUUGAGUCUCAGGACGCAGGAUAUGACAUCAGAUACACUCUGCUGACUCCAAAGUGUUCUGUCAAAAACACAGUGGCACAUGAAGCAAAAAAUACAUACACUGAGAGUUUGUGAUGUAUUUCAGUGCCAGAGGGAAACAAACAGCUGUGCAGACAUCUUCGCUAUUCCUGUCUCUGAAAUGAUUUACUUUCUUGCUUUUUUGUAUGGCCUUUAUUGAUAGAUGUAGGUCAGCAGAUAGAGCCGAAAAAGACACAAAAAGACACAUGCACAAAAGACACCACAGGAGGGAAUUGAAUCCGGGCUAAUAUGUACAUGGGGCACGCCUACAGACCUUUAGGCUAUCUGCACCACGAUUCACUUCCUUCAACCUUGAUUGUUUCUGUUACUUUCAUUUCUUGUGGCUCUUUUGUUUUGAAAGUUAUUGCCUUUUCUAAACAUCAUCUAUUCAGCCCAUUUAUGGGAAAUUUCUCCAAAACUCCCUACUGUGUUCUUGCAUCACUUCAUCUCCACUUCACACAGAAAUUUUAAAACUGGCUCAGUAGGAAAAGGUCCAGAUAAGUCAGAAUGUAAAAUCUGCCUCUCUUCUCACACGCAGCUCUCUCCAGGACUUCUUUGCAUGAGUAAAUACAGGAUCUGUCAGGUUUUUAAAACUUUUGUCAACAAAUCAGAAGUAUAUUAUGAUAAGGUCAGAUAACUCAUCAUAUGCAUGAUCAUAGCCUGCUCAGUCAGACUUAGGGUUUCCAUUGACCUACCGGGCCCAAAAUUAUUUGUGACAGAAGACCGAUGAAGUUGGUGCUGCAAGAUGAAACUUUCAGGGCAAAGUUUGAUAAGCUCUGGAAACAACAUUCCUGCCUGUGACAUUAAUGAUCUACCAUGAAAGAGGAAAGCUAGAAAUGUGUUGAUGUCUUGAGCGGACGCCACCCUAGUGAUGGUGGAAAGUUAACUUCAGGCGGUUCAUCAGAUUGGUCGAUACCGUCUUCCCAACAAUGAUUUUAUCCUUAUCGUUUUUUAUGGUGUUUGGGACACUCAGCUUUCGACAUCGAUCAAUCAUCCUUCAUGCUUGUUCAUCCUCUGAAGUUACAUUUGUUCACGUGAGUCUGUGGGAUAUUGUUGAGUGUGUGAUCUCAUGGUAUAACGUGUGUGUGUUCAGAGGACCGUUAAGUUAAAAUAGGUCAGAACUGUCCUUAUAUGAGUGUUAUCCCUUGGUUUUUAAGUUGGUUAAGAUCUUAAAGUCAGCUGGUGU